GAGGGGGUGACUAGUGACAGAGUGAGGGAGGGAAGUGGUGACUAGUGACAGAGUGAGGGAGGGAAGUGGUGACUAGUGACAGAGGGAGGGGUGACUAGGGACAGAGUGAGGGAGGUGGUGACUAGUGACAGUCACCACCUCCCUCACUCUGUCACCAUUCACCACCUCCCUCACUCUGUCACUGUGUCACCCCCUCCCUCUGUCACUGGUCACCCACUCCCUCACUCUGUCACUAGUCACCCCUUCCCUCACUCUGUCACUAGUCACCCCCCUCACUCUGUCACUAGUCACCCCCCUC